rnacentral:rRNA from 1 species
CGGGGUGAGUAAUGUCUGGAAAACUGCCUGAUGGAGGGGGAUAACUACUGGAAACGGUAGCUGAUACCGCAUAACGUCGCAAGACCAAAGAGGGGGACCUUCGGGCCUCUUGCCAUCGGAUGUGCCCAGAUGGGAUUAGCCAGUAGGUGGGGUAACGGCUCACCUAGGCGACGAUCCCUAGCUGGUCUGAGAGGAUGACCAGCCACACUGGAACUGAGACACGGUCCAG